rnacentral:misc_RNA from 1 species
UGAAAACUAAACAGAAAGAAGAUAUGGCAAGGGAAGAAGCUGUCUUGGAACGCAAGAAACUAAUUGAAGCAGAAAAGUUGCAGCGCCUUGCAGAGACACAGAGGAAAAAGGAAGAGGCACAAGUAAGAAGGGAAGAGGAGCGUAAAGCAUCAAGUGCCGCACGUGAAGCGAAGACGAUGGAACAGAUGCGGAGAAAGGAGGUUCGAGCCAAAGCUCAACAGGAGGAAG